CCUGCCCAAGAGAUCGGGAUAACACCUGGAAACAGAUGCUAAUACCGGAUAACAACAGAUGAUGCCUAUCAACUGUUUAAAAGNUGGUUCUGCUAUCACUCUUGGAUGGACCUGCGGUGCAUUAGCUAGUUGGUAGGGUAACGGCCUACCAAGGCGAUGAUGCAUAGCCGAGUUGAGAGACUGAUCGGCCACAUUGGGACUGAGACACGGCCCAAACUCCUACGGGAGGCAGCAGCG
rnacentral:rRNA from 1 species